rnacentral:tRNA from 1 species
UGUUCUACGGUUUAGUUGGUUAAAGCAUUGAAAUAGCGAUACGGAGUUGUGGGUUCGAAUCCCACCAAAACAA